ACACACACACACACACACACACACACACACACACACACACACACUCAAAGAUUACUUGAUUGAGCUUGACAAAGUCAUUGAAAAACAAACCAUAAUUGGCCAUGUUCUUGGGUUAGAAAAUGGGGAGUGUGUUCUAGGGCUGUCCGUGACUA